rnacentral:pre_miRNA from 14 species
UUUUAUUAAUACCAAUAUGUAAUGAAAGACCCCCAGAGUGGGGAGACCCUCACUCAAGUCUCAGGAUGACGAGACCCCCCAAGAACUCACAAGAGACU